rnacentral:rRNA from 1 species
UACGUAGGUGGCAAGCGUUGUCCGGAUUUACUGGGUGUAAAGGGCGCGUAGGCGGGUUAGCAAGUCAGAGGUGAAAUACUACAGCUUAACUGUAGAACUGCCUUUGAAACUGUUAAUCUUGAGUGCGGAAGAGAGAGACGGAAUUCCAGGUGUAGCGGUGAAAUGCGUAGAUAUCUGGAAGAACACCAGUAGCGAAGGCGGUCCCUUGGUCCGUUACUGACGCUCAGGCGCGAAAGCGUGGGGAGCAAACAGG